ACCAGGAGUGGAGCCUGCGGCUAAUUUGACUCAACACGGGAAACCUCACCCGCCCGGACACGGACAGGAUUGACAGAUUGAUAGCUCUUUCUCGAUUCCGUGGGUGGUGGUGCAUGGCCGUUCUUAGUUGGUGGAGCGAUUUGUCUGGUUAAUUCCGAUAACGAACGAGACUCUGGCAUGCUAACUAGUUACGCGACCCCCGAGCGGUCGGCGUCCCCAACUUCUUAGAGGGACAAGUGGCGUUCAGCCACCCGAGAUUGAGCAAUAACAGGUCUGUGAUGCCCUUAGAUGUCCGGGGCUGCACGCGCGCUACACUGACUGGCUCAGCGUGUGCCUACCCUACGCCGGCAGGCGCGGGUAACCCGUUGAACCCCAUUCGUGAUGGGGAUCGGGGAUUGCAAUUAUUCCCCAUGAACGAGGAAUUCCCAGUAAGUGCGGGUCAUAAGCUUGCGUUGAUUAAGUCCCUGCCCUUU
rnacentral:rRNA from 1 species